rnacentral:rRNA from 1 species
UACAGAGGUCUCAAGCGUUGUUCGGAUUCAUUGGGCGUAAAGGGUGCGUAGGUGGCGCCGUAAGUCAGGUGUGAAAUUUCGGAGCUUAACUCCGAAACUGACAUUUGAUACUGCGGUGCUUGAGGACUGGAGAGGGAGACGUGGAAUUUACGGUGUAGCAGUGAAAUGCGUAGAGAUCGUAAGGAAGACCAGUGGCGAAGGCGGG